AAUGGGCGAAAAGCCUGAUGCAGCAACGCCCGCGUGAAGGGAUGACGGCCUUUCGGGUUGUAAACCUNUUUUAGCAGGGAAGAAGCGAAAGUGACGGUACCUGCAGAAAAAGCGCCGGCUAACUACGUGCCAGCAGCCGCGGUAAUACGUAGGGCGCAAGCGUUAUCCGGAAUUAUUGGGCGUAAAGAGCUCGUAGGCGGUUUGUCGCGUCUGCUGUGAAACCCCGAGGCUCAACCUCGGGCCUGCAGUGGGUACGGGCAGACUAGAGUGCGGUAGAGGAGAUUGGAAUUCCUGGUGUAGCGGUGGAAUGCGCAGAUAUCAGGAGGAACACCGAUGGCGAAGGCAGAUCUCUGGGCCGUAACUGACGCUGAGGAGCGAAAGGGUGGGGAGCAAACAGGCUUAGAUACCCUGGUAGUCCACCCCGUAAACGUUGGGAACUAGUUGUGGGGUCCAUUCCACGGAUUCCGUGACGCAGCUAACGCAUUAAGUUCCCCGCCUGGGGAGUACGGCCGCAAGGCUAAAACUCAAAGGAAUUGACGGGGACCCGCACAAGCGGCGGAGCAUGCGGAUUAAUUCGAUGCAACGCGAAGAACCUUACCAAGGCUUGACAUAUACGAGAACGGGCCAGAAAUGGUCAACUCUUUGGACACUCGUAAACAGGUGGUGCAUGGUUGUCGUCAGCUCGUGUCGUGAGAUGUUGGGUUAAGUCCCGCAACGAGCGCAACCCUCGUUCUAUGUUGCCAGCACGUCAUGGUGGGAACUCAUGGAAUACUGCCGGGGUCAACUCGGAGGAAGGUGAGGAUGACGUCAAAUCAUCAUGCCCCUUAUGUCUUGGGCUUCACGCAUGCUACAAUGGCCGGUACAAUGGGCUGCAAUACCGCAAGGUGGAGCGAAUCCCAAAAAGCCGGUCCCAGUUCGGAUUGAGGUCUGCAACUCGACCUCAUGAAGUCGGAGUCGCUAGUAAUCGCAGAUCAGCAACGCUGCGGUGAAUACGUUCCCGGGUCUUGUACACACCGCCCGUCAAGUCAUGAAAGUCGGUAACACCUGAAGCCGGUGGCCCAACCC
rnacentral:rRNA from 1 species